rnacentral:rRNA from 1 species
CCGCCAGACUCCUACGGGAGGCAGCAGUGGGGAAUAUUGCGCAAUGGGCGAAAGCCUGACGCAGCGACGCCGCGUGAGGGAUGAAGGUUUUCGGAUCGUAAACCUCUGUCAGAAGGGAAGAAAGUGCGUGGUGCUAAUCAGCCGCGUAUUGACGGUACCUUCAAAGGAAGCACCGGCUAACUCCGUGCCAGCAGCCGCGGUAAUACGGAGGGUGCGAGCGUUAUCCGGAUUUAUUGGGUUUAAAGGGUGCGCAGGCGGGAGAUCAAGUCAGCGGUAAAAUGUCGGGGCUCAACCCCGGCCGGCCGUUGAAACUGGUUUUCUAGAGUUGGAGAGAAGUAUGCGGAAUUCGUGGUGUAGCGGUGAAAUGCAUAGAUAUCACGAAGAACUCCGAUUGCGAAGGCAGCAUACCGGCUCCAUACUGACGCUGAGGCACGAAAGCGUGGGGAUCGAACAGGAUUAGAUACCCGUGUAUG